AGUUUGAAAAAGUUCAUUAGCAUUGGGAAACAAAAAUAAAUGCAUUUUCUGACUGGAGCUUUGAACUGUUCACUAAAAUUUGGUUCAUUUGCAGCCUUGAUAUAAACCAGGACUCAAACUAUUGACUUGCAUCAUGUACAUGUAGUCCAUUGUAUAGGAUAAAUCACAUUUAUAGCACCAUAUAUAAAUCACAUCUGCACAAUUUUAUAGGAUAACUGUGGCUCCAGUUCAAUAUCUCUAAUAUAGUCAGUGUUCUUUUCUUCUGUUGUUUGCAGUAAAACAUGAUUGCGUAUUUG
rnacentral:misc_RNA from 1 species